CCGGGUCACCCAUGCCCUAAACCCAGCGACUCUUUCUCCCGAGCGACAACUGCGGCGUUUCCUCGGCGAGCUGCUGUCUUCCUCUCCAUCGGCGAACAGCAGAAGCAACGGCGGUGUCUUCCUCCGGGGUGUUCUUGUUGCUGCUGCGUUUUCCUCUGUGAACGGCGGCUGCAGCUUCUUCCUCUCCAUAGGCGAAACGGCGUCUCCGCCCCCCGAGUGGGAUUACCAAGCAGUAGGGAGUUAUUUGAUGCUAAAUUGGAGAAUAAAACUUACAGGAUUAUUACUCGAGUUUAGGAAAGAUUCCCAAAAAACAUUGCUACCAGUUGUCCAAAAGCCUGAUGGGAAGAAAAAUUUGAUGGUUUGUGAUCAGAUUUCUGUAAGCAAUUUCUGCUGCUAAAUAGAUCUCUAGGCCUUUGUUUAUCUGUUAUAUCUCCUCUGACUACUCUAUGUUAUAUUUGAUAUUACUGAUUCUGAGGUAUCAAAUUUAGUUUAAUAUUUAAAUUUUAAAGAGAAUGGAGUGAUUUGCUUAAUAAAGCUCCAAUAAGUCACAUAUGUAGUACCUGGUACUGAAGACUUUGACCACACUGAUAUCUCUGAAUUUGUUCAGAAAGCUCCGGGUCUCUUAGUAAGUUUCAGAAAAUUAGAACUUGGAGACAGUGACAGUGACAGCUGAUGAAUUAGCUGUGGUACCUAUUUUGCAGAAUCAACUUUCCUUGCUUGAACACUGCUAAUCCUUCAUUUUCUUCAGAUUAUAUAUGACAGCAAGGAAUCUCUUGAAAGCUACUGUUCCCAUCUCUUGUUGUCUAGACAUGACAUAUAUUUUAAUGUGGUUGAUGGCAAGGGAUAUUCUUCUCUAUACGGUCUUCGAUGACGAUGGCUUGAUUUACCUUGCUUCCAUCCUUAUUGUCAUCGUUCCGUCGUAAGUUCUUGAUCCUUGGUCCAAAGAUGGUUUGGUACAGGGAUUCUUUGGGAAAGAUUCUUUUGGUCUAUUUCGUGAUCGCCCCUUCCUCGACGAUGGUGGAAAACUUGCCGUAGAGACCAUCAUCAGCAUAGAUUCCUUGGUAGAGGCUAAAAAUGAAGGUGCUGAUUGACAAGGAGGGUUUUCUAUAGUUGCAUCGAUGGUGAUCUCAUGUUUUUGCUUGUUUCCUAUCCUAUGGUGGCCAUUCUAUUGCAAAUUCUUGAUCCUUGGUGCAGAGAAGUGUCAGUUCAAGGAUUCUUUUGAAUAGAUUCUUUUGGUCACAGAUUUUCAUAUCUAGCUCUGCUGCUGCCUAGCUUGCAAUGAAGAUGGCAAUUGACAAGGAGGUUUUUUUUCUCUCAUUAGGCCGGUGAUGCUUUGUCUUUCUUCCAGCCCUUUCAUUGUUGUUUGAUCACAGAUUCUUGAUCUCUUGGUCCAGAGGAGAAGAGUUGGUAGGUUGGUUCUUUGGGACAUGGAGUGUUUCUUUGCCACAUGAUGGAUUUCUGCCCAUUGGCGAGGAAAUCUUCUGUCAAUUGCAUAAUUGCGUUGAUAAAGGAACCUGAGGUGUAGUAGAUUAUUUGGUCAUAGUGUGUUGCUAUGAUCCUGCUGUUUGUGCUUCUUAUGGAAUGAAGAAGAGAUAAUUGGAUUGGUUGCCGAUAAGUGGCUGAGAAAGUUUAUUCAUUAGUGUUUGAUAAAUCCAGCUAAUCUGUUUGUAAUAUUAUGAUCAGCUUAGUGAGUGUGGGAAAUUCUUUAUGGCAAGCCAAGGCAGGCACUGACCCCAGCCAGUAAAUGAAUGUGAUAUUUAUUCAGAGUGGGAUUACCAAGCAGUAGGGAGAUAUUUGAUGCUAAAUUGGAGAAGAAAACUUACAGGAUUAUUACUCGAGUUUAGGAAAGAUUCCCAAAAAACAUUGCUACCAGUUGUCCAAAAGCCUGAUGGGAAGAAAAAUUGGAUGGUUUGUGAUCAGAUUCCUAUAAACAAUUUCAGCUGCUAAAUAGAUCUCUAGGUCUUUGUUUAUCUUUUAUAUCUCCUCUGACUACUCUAUGUUAUAUUUGAUAUUACUGAUUCUGAGGUAUCAAAUUUAGUUUAGUAUUUAAUUUUUAAAGAAGAAUGGAGUGAUUUGCUUAAUAAAGCUCCAACAAGUCACAUAUGUAGUACCUGGUAUUGAAGACUUUGACCACACUGAUAUCUAUGAAUUUGUUCAGAAAGCUCAGGGUCUCUUAGUAAUUUUCAGAAAAUUAGAACUUGGAGACAGUGACAGUGACAGCUGAGGAAUUAGCUGUGGUACCUAUUUUGCAGAAUCAACUUUCCAUGAUUGAACACUGCUCAUCUUUCAUUUUCUUAAGAUUAUAUAUGGCAGCAAGGAAUCUCUUGAAAGCUACUGUUCCCUUCUUUUGUUGUCUAGAGAUGACAUAUUUUAAUAUGAUUGAUGGCAAGGGAUAUUCUUCUCUUUAUGAACCACGACCAAGCAUUAAGGGUCAAUACGAGGAUUCUUUAGGAAAGAUUCUUUUGGUCAAUUUUCGUGGCUGCCCAACCACUUACUCGAUGGUGGUGACAGGCUAUUUUUCAUGGAUGAGGUGGAGGUGGGUUUUCUCUCAUUGCAUCGGUCUUCGAUGACGAUGGCAUGCUUUUGCUUGCUUCCAUCCUUAUUGUCAUCGUUCCGUCGUAAGUUCUUGAUCCUUGGUCCAAAGAUGGUUCGGUACAGGGAUUCUUUGGGAUGGUGAUCUCAUGCUUUUGCUUGUUUCUUAUCCUAUGGUGGCCAUUCUAUCACAAAUUCUUGAUCCUUGGUGCAGAGAAGUGUUGGUUCACAGAUUCUUUUGAAUAGAUUCUUUUGGUCACAGAUUUUCAUAGCAAGCUCUGCUGCUGCCUAGCUUGCAAUGAAGAUGGCAAUUGACGAGGAGGUUUUUUUCUCUCAUUAGGCCGGUGAUGCUUUGUCUUUCUUCCAGCCCUAUCAUUGCUGUUUGAUCACAGAUUCUUGAUCUCUUGGUCCAGAGGAGAAGAGUUGGUAGGUUGGUUCUUGGGGACAUGGAGUGUUCCUUUGCCACUUGAUGGAUUUCUGACCAUUGGCGAGGAAACCUUCUGUCAAUGGCAUAAUUGCGUUGAUAAAGGAACCUGAGGUGUAGUAGAUUAUUUGGUCAUAGUGUGUUGCUAUGAUCGUGCUGUUUGUGCUUCUUAUGGAUGAAGAAGAGAUAAUUGGAUUGGUUGCCGAUAAGUGGCUGAGAAAGUUUAUUCAUUAAUGUUUGAUAAAUCCAGCUAAUCUGUUUGUAAUAUUAUGAUCAGCUUAGUGAGUGUGGGAAGUUCUUUAUGGCAAGCCAAGGCAGACACCGACCACAGCCAGUAAAUGAAUGUGAUAUUUAUUCAGGAUCAAAUGACAAGGAUGGGCUCUGGUAUUUAUUAGCAUCAAUGUCAUCGUAGAAGGAGGUGGCAUCUUUUAUUACAAUAUGCAGUAAGCCAGCUCUGUUAUGAACAAAAGACCUUGUCCUCUCCAAAUUGCAAAAGUGUAUAAUUUGGUCCAUUGACUAGUUAUGAAGAAUGGUAUGGAGGUUGCAAUGAAAGUACAGUACCCCCUGGUGUUGCAGAUAGCAUAGAAAGUGACAUCCAGAAUCAGUUUAAUUUUAGACUACACAAAUCUCAAUCCUAACGGAAUUUUUGUUGAUUACACUAUAAAGGGCUACCGACACAAGGCUGCAUCCUCGGACAAAUCGCUACAGAAGCUGCAUCGUCAAACAUGGCAAAUUUCCUCCUGACUUGAUUGUCACAUGUUCUCUUUGUUGUUGAUAUUGACAUGGUCGUGGUGGUGGUUCCACCUCAUCCUUCUCCCAAUAACAGCAGCAGCGUCCUCGGAAGGCAACACACAUAUAACACAUACAUACAUAACUCAACACAUACAUAUACAUACUACACAUUACACAAAUACAACACGCGUACACAUAAAAUUCACAACGCAUACACAAUAUAACACAUACAUACAUAUAUACAACACACAUACACAACACACACACACAACAUAUGACACUACAUACACAUACACAUAUACACUACACAAUACACACAUAACACAAUACAUAUACACGUAAUACAUACACAACACAUACCAUUCACAACACAACAUAUUAUUAACAACACACAUCACAUUCAUAACACACAUAUGUACACAACACAUCAUAACAUUCUUUACACACAACACACAUAUACACAAUACACAAACACAAAACACACACAACACACAUACAUAUACACAACACACUACACAAUACACAAACACAAAACACACAGCAUUCACAACUCAACACACAUACACAACACACACAAAUACACAACACAUACACGCACAACACACAUACGCACCCAAUACAACAUCACUUUUUUAGAUUAUGUUUACACUUGGGAGUUUAUAUUGUCAUCCACUUCUCAAGAUGUGGUUUCUCCACUUCUUUCAUCAAGCGUCUUGUUGUCCCGAGGAAUUGGAACAUGGAAUACGUCCACUUCACUUAAUCCGAAAAGGAAUUUAGCCUUUUAGAGCAUUGGUAUUUAUUUUUGAGAAGAUAUUUGCAUUGCCCAUAGUUGUAAAAUUCGAGUUAUGUUGUAACUAUUUAGUACCAUGCAGCCGUGUAUUUUUUUUUUUACAAAAAAUUGAAACUAUUCCAUGUGA